AAUGAACGCUGGCGGCAUGCCUAACACAUGCAAGUCGAACGAGACCUCCGGGUCUAGUGGCGCAUGGGUGUGUAACGCGUGGGAACCUGCCCUUAGGUUUGGAAUAACUCUCCGAAAGGGGUGCUAACACCGGAUAAUGUCUGCGGACCAAAGAUUUAUCGCCUUUGGAUGGGCCCGCGUUGGUUUAGCUAGUUGGUAGGGUAAAAGCCUACCACGGAGACGUUCCAUAGCUGGUCUGAGAGAAUGGUCAGCCACACUGAGACGGGGACGCGGCCCGGACUCCUACGGGAGGCGGCAGUGGGGGAUAUAGGAAAAUGGGGGAGGGCCUGAUGCAGCAAUGCCUGGUAAGUGAUGAUGUCCGUAGAGAUGUAAAGCUCUUUUACCCGGGAUGAUAAUGACGGUACCGGAAGAAUAAGCACCGGCUAACUCCGUG
rnacentral:rRNA from 1 species